rnacentral:misc_RNA from 1 species
GAUGAAGAACGUAGCGAAAUGCGAUAAGUAAUGUGAAUUGCAGAAUUCAGUGAAUCAUCGAAUCUUUGAACGCACAUUGCACUCAUUAGUAUUCUAGUGAGUAUGCCUGUUCGAGCGUCAUUUCAACCCUUAAGCCUAGCUUAGUGUUGGGACUCUACCCUAACCGGUAGUUCCCCAAAAUCAGUUGGCGGAGUUCAGUCGGCUCUGAGUGUAGUAAUUUUCUCUCGCUUUAGAAGUCUUCUGGAUUACGGCCAGAAAGAGACGAGUCUCGCAUCUCGGUGCGUUUCUCAACUUUUUUUACAAUGGUUGACCUCGGAUCAGGUAGGAAUACCCGCUGAACUUAAGCAUAUCAAUAAGCGGAGGA